UAGGGAAUCUUCGGCAAUGGGGGGAACCCUUACCGAGCAACGCCGCGUGAGUGAAGAAGGUUUUCGGAUCGUAAAGCUCUGUUGUUAAGGAAGAACGAGUGUGAGAAUGGAAAGUUCAUGCUGUGACGGUACUUAACCAGAAAGGGACGGCUAACUACGUGCCAGCAGCCGCGGUAAUACGUAGGUCCCGAGCGUUGUCCGGAUUUAUUGGGCGUAAAGCGAGCGCAGGCGGUUAGAUAAGUCUGAAGUUAAAGGCAGUGGCUCAACCAUUGUAGGCUUUGGAAACUGUUUAACUUGAGUGCAGAAGGGGAGAGUGGAAUUCCAUGUGUAGCGGUGAAAUGCGUAGAUAUAUGGAGGAACACCGGUGGCGAAAGCGGCUCUCUGGUCUGUAACUGACGCUGAGGCUCGAAAGCGUGGGGAGCGAACAGG
rnacentral:rRNA from 1 species